CCCUUUCCCUGAGCUGGAACAAUUUCUACAGGACACUAUCAAGAGGUAUAAUCUGCAGAUGUUGGAAGCUGAGGGCAGCAUGAAGCAGGCCCUGGGUGAACUGCAGGCACGGCACCCCCAGCUGGAGGCUGUCCUUAUGGGCACCCGCCGGACUGACCCCUACUCCUGUAGCCUCUGCCCUUUCAGCCCCACUGACGCAGGCUGGCCUGCAUUCAUGCGCAUCAACCCACUGCUGAGCAAGCUAUACCAGAGAAUCAGAUAGCAAGCCCUCCCUCAGAGGCCAAGGGAGCAGAAGAGCCAUGGAUGGGCCCCUUCCCAGGACAGCAGGGGUAGAAGUGGGAAAGAUACACAUCACUGGGGAGUCGGGAGAAUACCGUGCGGAACCCGGCCCUGAAGUGCCUGAGCCCAGGAGGACACCCCACAUACCGUCCAGCCUAUCUACUGGAGAAUGAAGAAGAGGAGCGGAACUCCCGCACAUGACCUCCCACCCUAGGAGGGAGGGAAGGACACUAUCCUAGGGUAUAAGCUGGCAAUAAACCGUGCCUCUCACUGUG
rnacentral:sRNA from 1 species